GAGAAAGUCAUAGGGGUUAUGAAAUUGACUUGAAAUCGAUUUUAGAGGGUUCGAUUCCUUCCUUUCUUG
rnacentral:tRNA from 1 species